rnacentral:rRNA from 1 species
UACAGAGGGUGCGAGCGUUUGUUCGGAAUUAUUGGGCGUAAAGGGCGCGUAGGCGGCGCGGUAUGUCACCUGUGAAAUCUCCUGGCUCAACUGGGAGCUUGCAGGCGAAACUGCCGUGCUGGAGUGUGGGAGAGGUGCGUGGAAUUCCCGGUGUAGCGGUGAAAUGCGUAGAUAUCGGGGAGGAACACCAGUGGCGAAGGCGGCGAUCUGGGGAAGAUACUGACGCUGAGGAGCGAAAGCGUGGGGAGCAAACAGG